CCUACGGGAGGCAGCAGUGGGGAAUAUUGGACAAUGGGCGAAAGCCUGAUCCAGCCAUGCCGCGUGUGUGAAGAAGGCCUUCGGGUUGUAAAGCACUUUCAGUGGGGAAGAAAGCCUUGGGGCUAAUACCCUCGAGGAAGGACAUCACCCACAGAAGAAGCACCGGCUAACUCCGUGCCAGCAGCCGCGGUAAUACGGAGGGUGCGAGCGUUAAUCGGAAUUACUGGGCGUAAAGCGCGCGUAGGCGGUCUGAUAAGCCGGUUGUGAAAGCCCCGGGCUCAACCUGGGAACGGCAUCCGGAACUGUCAGGAUAGAGUGCAGGAGAGGAAGGUAGAAUUCCCGGUGUAGCGGUGAAAUGCGUAGAGAUCGGGAGGAAUACCAGUGGCGAAGGCGGCCUUCUGGACUGACACUGACGCUGAGGUGCGAAAGCGUGGGUAGCAAACAGGAUUAGAUACCCCUGUAGUC
rnacentral:rRNA from 1 species